rnacentral:lncRNA from 1 species
GCUGCCUAUUCUCCAGGUAUCUACCUGCGCGGAGGCGGGGCCUCCCUCUUUUCCAUAGAUACCACGGCAGGGGCUUGGACUCUGAUUUACACCAGUACAGCCCAGAGCCCGGAUGUGGGUGAGUGAAGACAAGGCAUACCUCGGUGUGACCACUUUCCAGAAUUCAGGUAUGUCCACAGUAUGAAUAACAUCCUUUCUGACUCCCAAAACGUUCAUCACGAAACAGGAAAACCCAGAUAUAGCGAUUUGAGAGAAUAAUUUUGAUAAAAGCACAGAAGAAGAGAGUGCUGGAUUAUGGAACUUCAAAGAGAACUCAGCUUGCAAUCACAAUUUCAAAGCCUCUCAACGGAAAGAGAAGAAAUUGCACUGGCCAGCACUGGGGAGAGGUACUCGGGACACAGAAAGGCUCACCCACCACGCUCCCAGCCUGUGGCUGUCCCCAGCAGCUCUGGCCUGCUUUUCCUGAACUUGCCUUCUCUCCCUCCCUCGAACAGGGCAAGAACUCAGUACUUGUUUGCUAAGUGCGUGGGGUGGAAUCGGCAUUGGGAGUUCCACAAGGUCAGUUGUGGUGGUACACAGCUAUAAAUCACGGUUAGACGCCAGCUUGGGCUACAUUGCCAGUUCAGGGCCAGCCUAGGCUGCCUGGUGAGACUGUAUCGCAAAAGCCAAAAUAAGGCCGGCCAAGUAGCUCUGUGGUAGGCUGACUGGCUGAUGUGCGGCAGGCUUCCUGGGACCGGAUUGGUCACUUUCCUUUUCUCAUCUCUGAGCCUUCCUCGGUCUUUCGUGUAAGGGAUUUUUGUUUAAUCACCCUCUAGCCUUCUUUUGCCCUGGCUGACUCAUUCCUGUUCCCUCCAGGCGAUUGUUUUGAGCUAUUAGUCAUCUUGGUGGCUUUCUUUGAACCCAUCCCCCGGCACCUUAGCUUUCCUGUAAACCCACAGAGGUUACAGCAGACGGAUGCAAUCUCCACCAGACAAUCCAGAAGAGCGGAGGACACGAUUCCUUUUCUGAUUCUCUAACAAAGUAGGAAAAAUUAUUAGCAGUUGUGUCCCCAAGGAGUAAAUAAGCAAAUCAAUGGAUCUAGUGGUAUCCUUAAAUCUUUAAAGAAUAUCAUUAAAGGGGUUGGAGAGGUGGCUCAGUAGUUAAGAGCACUGGCUGUUCUUCCAGAGGACCUGAGUUCAAUUCCCAGCAUCCAUGUGACUUCUCACAACCAUCUGUAACCCCAGUUCGCCCUCUUCUGGCCUGCAAAUAUACUGCAUGCAUAUAGCGCUCAUACGUUC